UGCUCGGCUUUUGGUGUGGUAGGAG
rnacentral:piRNA from 1 species